AGUGAACGCUGGCGGUAGGCCUAACACAUGCAAGUCGAACGGCAGCACAGUAAGAGCUUGCUCUUACGGGUGGCGAGUGGCGGACGGGUGAGGAAUACAUCGGAAUCUACUUUUUCGUGGGGGAUAACGUAGGGAAACUUACGCCAAUACCGCAUACGACCUACGGGUGAAAGCAGGGGAUCUUCGGACCUUGCGCGAUUGAAUGAGCCGAUGUCGGAUUAGCUAGUUGGCGGGGUAAAGGCCCACCAAGGCGACGAUCCGUAGCUGGUCUGAGAGGAUGAUCAGCCACACUGGAACUGAGACACGGUCCAGACUCCUACGGGAGGCAGCAGUGGGGAAUAUUGGACAAUGGGCGCAAGCCUGAUCCAGCCAUACCGCGUGGGUGAAGAAGGCCUUCGGGUUGUAAAGCCCUUUUGUUGGGAAAGAAAAGCAGCAGGUUAAUACCCCGCUGUUCCGACGGUACCCAAAGAAUAAGCACCGGCUAACUUCGUG
rnacentral:rRNA from 1 species